rnacentral:tRNA from 1 species
GCCGAGUUGGCGGAACGGCAUACGCGAUGGUCUCAAACACCAUUGCCCGCAAGGGCUUGUGGGUUCGAAUCCCACACUCGGCACCA